AAUCCCAAAAGAAAAGUAAUGCUAACAUCAAAGUGCUUGCACACAUUCGUCACCCUUCGGGUCCAUAAACUUUUUGACCAACUGACGUGUGCUUGCGUGAUCGGUCUUGAAGCAGGACGCACGGACGCACGUACGACCCCGUCUUAUUUAUGGAAUUCUCAGGCAAGGUGGACAUUGACCAAUCUAUAAGUCGGCAAAAUGCCCCCCGACCCCCCACGAGUAGAAGCACCAAAGAGAGAGAGAGAGAGAGAGAGAGAGUGAGAGAGAGAGCGAUCAGAAGUUUGCCGACAAGAGAUUCCUCCUCCUCAGUCAGGCAGGGGCCCAGACUAGACGGGCCAGCGAGAGCUACGUUAACCUCUCAGUGUUGCUUCAGACAGUGUCGAGGAAGGGUGUGUCGCUCCUCGCGUCCCAUUGAACCCUAGUUCUUGCGACGCUUUAUCGUUUUGAAAAAAAAAACUCAAUCAAAAGAAAUUUAAGAUAAUCAUAAGAAAAGAAAAGAAGAAACAUACCAAUUGGGUGUCCAUUUGUCAUAUAGAAGCGACCUGACGUCAAUGAAUGAUUAGUUUGUGUGUGUGAAAAGAAAAAAAAACACGUUCCAGGAAGUUGUUUUCCCCUUGUGUGAA